ensembl:snRNA U4 U4 spliceosomal RNA
GGCUUUGCGCAGUGGCAGUAUCGUAGCCAAUGAGGUUUAUCUGAGGCACGAUUAUUACUAAUUGAAAACUUCCCAAUAGCCUGCUGUGACAACUUGCAAUAUAGUCGGCACUGGCAAUUUUUGACGGUCUCUAUGGAGA